rnacentral:misc_RNA from 1 species
AACAGGGAAAGAUGCAACAAAUGACUUUGAAGACGUCGGCCACAGUGAUUCUGCUAGGGAGAUGAUGGAUAAAUAUUACAUUGGAGAUAUUGAUCAGUCAACAGUUCCUCUAAAACGUGCUUACAUUCCUCCAGAACAAGCCCCAUACAAUCCAGACAAGACUUCAGAAUUUGUUAUCAAAAUUUUGCAAAUCCUUGUGCCCCUCUUGAUUUUGGGCUUAGCCUUUGCUGUGCGACACUACACCAAGGAGAAGUAAAUCCAUUACAAUCUAAUUCGAAUAUCCAGAAUGCUUUCUAUUUGAAUUACAUAGGAGCUAUAGUAGCUGAACCAUGAUUAUCAGUUUGUAUGUGCUUCACAGUUGCCAUUCGUAAUGACCUCUAUGUUGUUAACAAUAGACUUCACUGGGUUUAUAUCUAUGUCAU